AGCGAACGCUGGCGGCAGGCCUAACACAUGCAAGUCGAACGGACCUUUCGGGGUUAGUGGCGGACGGGUGAGUAACACGUGGGAACGUGCCUUUAGGUUCGGAAUAGCUCCUGGAAACGGGUGGUAAUGCCGAAUGUGCCCUUCGGGGGAAAGAUUUAUCGCCUUUAGAGCGGCCCGCGUCUGAUUAGCUAGUUGGUGAGGUAACGGCUCACCAAGGCGACGAUCAGUAGCUGGUCUGAGAGGAUGACCAGCCACACUGGGACUGAGACACGGCCCAGACUCCUACGGGAGGCAGCAGUGGGGAAUCUUGCGCAAUGGGCGAAAGCCUGACGCAGCCAUGCCGCGUGAAUGAUGAAGGUCUUAGGAUUGUAAAAUUCUUUCACCGGGGACGAUAAUGACGGUACCCGGAGAAGAAGCCCCGGCUAACUUCGUG
rnacentral:rRNA from 1 species